rnacentral:rRNA from 1 species
UGAGGAAUAUUGCGCAAUGGGGGCAACCCUGACGCAGCGACGCCGCGUGGAUGAUGAAGGCCCUUGGGUCGUAAAAUCCUGUCAGAUGGAAAGAAAUGUAUAGCAGCUAAUAUCUGUUAUAUUUGACGGUACCAUCAAAGGAAGCACCGGCUAACUCCGUGCCAGCAGCCGCGGUAAUACGGAGGGUGCAAGCGUUGUUCGGAAUUACUGGGCGUAAAGCGCGCGUAGGCGGUGUGCUAAGUCAGAUGUGAAAGCCCUCGGCUUAACCGGGGACGUGCAUUUGAAACUGGCAGACUUGAGUACUGGAGGGGGUGGUGGAAUUCCCGGUGUAGAGGUGAAAUUCGUAGAUAUCGGGAGGAAUACCGGUGGCGAAGGCGACCACCUGGCCAGAUACUGACGCUGAGGUGCGAAAGCGUGGGGAGCAAACAGG